rnacentral:rRNA from 1 species
AGAGUUUGAUCAUGGCUCAGGACGAACGCUGGCGGCGUGCUUAACACAUGCAAGUCGAGCGGAAAGGCCCUUCGGGGUACUCGAGCGGCGAACGGGUGAGUAACACGUGAGCAACCUGCCCCUAGCUCUGGGAUAGCUCCGGGAAACCGGGAUUAAUACCAGAUAUGACCACUUUAGACAUCUGCUGUGGUGGAAAGGAUUCCGGCUAGGGAUGGGCUCGCGGCCUAUCAGCUUGUUGGUGGGGUAACGGCCUACCAAGGCGACGACGGGUAGCCGGCCUGAGAGGGCGACCGGCCACACUGGGACUGAGACACGGCCCAGACUCCUACGGGAGGCAGCAGUGGGGAAUAUUGCGCAAUGGGCGAAAGCCUGACGCAGCGACGCCGCGUGGGGGAUGAAGGCCUUCGGGUUGUAAACCCCUUUCAGCAGGGACGAAGCGAGAGUGACGGUACCUGCAGAAGAAGCGCCGGCUAACUACGUGCCAGCAGCCGCGGUAACACGUAGGGCGCAAGCGUUGUCCGGAAUUAUUGGGCGUAAAGAGCUCGUAGGCGGUCUGUUGCGUCCGCUGUGAAAUCUCGGGGCUUAACCCCGAGCCUGCAGUGGAUACGGGCAGACUAGAGGUAGGUAGGGGAGAAUGGAAUUCCCGGUGUAGCGGUGAAAUGCGCAGAUAUCGGGAGGAACACCGGUGGCGAAGGCGGUUCUCUGGGCCUUACCUGACGCUGAGGAGCGAAAGCGUGGGGAGCGAACAGGAUUAGAUACCCCCGUAGUCC